rnacentral:rRNA from 1 species
UACGGGGGGAGCAAGCGUUGUUCGGAUUUACUGGGCGUAAAGGGCGCGUAGGCGGCCACCUCAGGUCAAUUGUGAAAUCUCCGGGCUUAACUCGGAAAGGUCAACUGAUACUGCGGGGCUAGAGUGCGGAAGGGGCAACUGGAAUUCUCGGUGUAGCGGUGAAAUGCGUAGAUAUCGAGAGGAACACCUGCGGCGAAGGCGGGUUGCUGGGCCGACACUGACGCUGAUGCGCGAAAGCCAGGGGAGCGAACGGG